GCCCCCGUUGUCUAAUGGCUAUGACGUCAGACUUCUACCUGAAUGCGCGGGGAUCUGGAGGUUGCGGGUUCGAGUCCCGCCGGGGGUA